rnacentral:tRNA from 1 species
GCGCGAGUGGCGUAAUUGGCAGCCGCGCAGCGCUUAGGACGCUGUGCCCUUACGGGCGUGGGGGUUCGAGUCCCCCCUCGCGCACCA